CUCCUCUCGAUGCUUAGAGCGCGAGUUCGCAGUUUAGAUUUCGGGGAGAGAGAUUCCAGAAGAAAAGAAAGCUCGAGAAGAGAGAAGCAGAGCCGGGUGGAAUCCAGGUCGAGGGUGGUGGGUUGGAGAAAGCAAUGGCAGUACGGAGCUGUCGUCUCCUCCUCCUCCUCCUCCUCCUCGUCUUUUGGCUUCUCUCAGGUCAAGUCCUCCAAACUCUUAGCCUCACGAUUGGAAUCAACUAUGGGCAGAUUGCCAACAAUCUCCCUUCUCCUACCCGAGUUGCUGGCCUCCUCCAAUCCCUUAACAUCAGCAGAGUAAAGCUCUAUGAUGCUGACCAGAAAGUCCUCAGUGCCUUUCUCAAUACCAACAUUGAGUUCAUAAUUGGAAUUGGCAAUGAGAAUGUGUCAACAAUGACAGACUUAGCAAAAGCCCAAGCAUGGCUCCAACAGCAUGUCAAGCCUUACAUUCCACAUACCCGAAUCACCUGUAUCACUGUCGGAAAUGAGGUCUUCACUAGCAAUGACACUGUUUUGAAGUCUAACCUUCUUCCAGCAAUGCAAUCAGUAUACCAAGCUCUCGUUGCCCUCGGAUUGGACAAGCAAGUGAACGUCACCACUGCACAUUCCCUUGACAUCUUGGGAAACUCCUACCCUCCUUCCUCAGGCUCUUUCCGCCAGGAUCUCGCUGAGUAUAUUCAUCCCCUCCUCAACUUCCAUUCUAUGACCAAGUCCCCCUUCCUUGUAAAUGCCUAUCCUUACUUCGCUUACAAAGCGAACCCGAAUACUAUCUCGUUGGAAUAUGUCCUCUUCCAGCCUAAUGCAGGAGUCCCUGAUCCAAAUACAAAUCUGAAUUAUGACAACAUGCUUGAUGCUCAGGUCGAUUCAGUUUAUACUGCAAUUCAAGCAAUGGGUCAGACAGAUAUUGAUGUAAGGAUUUCUGAGACUGGGUGGCCAUCCAAGGGAGAUCCUGACGAGGCAGGGGCCACUCCAGAGAAUGCUGCAAUUUAUAAUGGGAAUUUGUUGCGAAGGAUAGCAAUGAAUCAGGGCACGCCCCUGAAGCCGUCAGUGCCCAUUGAUAUCUAUGUUUUUGCGUUGUUUAAUGAAGAUUUAAAACCAGGGCCAACCUCGGAAAGGAAUUAUGGGCUGUUUUAUCCUGAUGGUACCCCAGUUUAUAAUAUUGGAUUACGUGGUUACCUUCCACUAAUGUCAUCAUCUUCCAAGCGGAUGGUGAUUCAUGGGCUAGGCCUUCACAUCAUGACGAUAGCAGCUUUCCUGUUAGCUUAAAAGCAUAUUAUCUAGAUGAUGAGCGAAGUGGAGGAACAGCUAAUGGCUGAGGAUUUAUUGCCCCCACCAGUUUUCGGAAGGUCUUCAGGUAAUUGGCUGGUUGAAAUCCUCUCCGUGCGCUUCUCUGUCUUGAUAGGUCCAGUUCCACUUUAAGCUUAGAAAAAGUUGAAAGAGUUGUCAAACGUGACCGCUUCUGACGGUUAGUGUAGCAAUACGGUCAUUGGUCAAGUUUUGUCUUAGCAUCAAUCCUGCGUUGCAGCCUCUACCCUUCCCUUCUGCUGUUGUUCCUGGACUCCUUCCAACAGAGUGUCAUCUUUUUGCCAUGAUGCGCCUGCCACGGAUUCCACAUACAAAGCACCGUGUAUUUCUUGUGGCACCUAUGAUCUUUACUUAUUGACCUAACCCAGAUACUGUCUUUGGUGCAGGCAAAUCCUCUAGAGAUUCUCCUACUCUGAAGCACCCUACGCUGUGCCUGAAUUUUGCUAUAUCACAUUGUGAUUGGCAGCAUAAGCUGGCGACAACUGGCUCCGGUGAAAGCAACCGGCUGAAAUUUAGGGACAGAAAAGCAGUUGAUUUAAAAAUCUUUUGUGCAGAAAUAAAUCGCAACGAGCAAGUAAACUUAGAAAAACUAAUGUUUAACUUUUGAAGGAAUAAUGAAUGCUCCAAGUCCAUGUAACCUUCGGGACCGGCGUUUGAGAUUUGUAAUACUCUCAGGUUGCUAUUUACUUCAUAAACAAUAAAGGCCAUUUGCUA